GUGUUCGCUUCGGCAGCACAUAUACUAAAAUUGGAACGAUACAGAGAAAAUUAGCAUGGCCCCUGCACAAGGAUGACACGCGAAUUCAUGAAGCAUUCCAUAUUUUU